rnacentral:lncRNA from 1 species
AGCCCUGUAACUGGGGAAAGGACCUCUCCCUUUAGUCAGUUGGAAGAAGGAUGGACACUCAAACACCAUGAUCUGUCAGCAAAGAAAACGGAAAGCGAUCAUGGAUGGGCCACAAACCGUGUGCACUAAAGAAAGAUUGCUCACUUUGAGACUGUUCACCUGAAAAAUAUUAUGUAAAUAUGACACUCGAAUACGGAAAGCAGGAGCAGGAUGCACGGACUAAUACCUCGGUAAAUGAAGCGGGAGAGAAGAACCUGAAGUCACUCAGUAGAUGCGUCAAAUAACUCUGUAAUGGAUUGUCUUCCUUUCCCAGCUUCCUUAGCAAGUCAACUAAUUGCUUCAUGGUCACAACAUGGCAGCUGGAUCUCUAGAUGUCACUACGAAGUUCCAGGCUGAAAGAAAUCAUUUUUAUUAUAUUUUUCAGGUCACCCUUGAAUAAGGCUGAAAUACCACUCCAUUUUUGGGUGGUGCCAGCAUACAAGGCAGAAUCAUCUCAAAAUCAGACCCAAAUUGUGUCUUUAUCAGCCAACUGAUCAUCAAGAAUUCACCCAAGGACGGUAGGUGUGGGUCAAGGAAGAGA